AAGGAACCCGCGGCCAGGCGGAGCGGCCGGCCCGGGCUGACGUCGGAAGGGCCGGCACGCACGCGGCGCUCCUUUAUUCCCCGCCUCCCGCGGAGUUCACAGAAGCGCGUCUAGCUGGCGUGACCCGCACGCUUGCCUGUAUCCAAUGGGACGCCCGGAGGCGUGCGUGCGUAAGAGCCGCUGACACCUCCCGCCUCUUCACCUUCUUGGCGUGGAAACCGCGAUAGUGAGGUAGAGCAUCGCUGCUGGCAGUGCUUGUGUCAGGUUUCUCGGUGGUUUCUCUCACGUGCUCCUGCAUCGUUGCACCUUCAUAUCGACGAGAGGGUGCGCCAGCCCGUAUUCCUGGGCUGGGACCAAAGUGCAAGCCACUGAAAUAUUCCUCGAAUUAUGAGGGCAAGGAUUUUCUGUGGUUAUUGGAAUGGCAUCUGAAGCCCCACUGACUGGAAUCCAAUCCUGUCUUCACCGCGUCCUUUGAUUGUUAUGAAGGACCUUCAGGACAUCAUAUAAUUUCACCCAAAAACAUUUCAAUGUGUAUCUGUAAGAGGUCAACAUUAUACGGUGACCCAGAUGGGACCCAAAAGAGAUGAACCCCUGAGGAACGAAUGACCCUCAGAACCAUGUGAAGUACCCACUUGAGUGCCUAGUACUCUCUGCUUCCUUUUAGUUUGGACUGAAGACCUUGUUGAUCCACUCAAUGAACAAGAUCCAGGUGACCCAAGCCUUGUUGUUGGACCUCCACAUAACAUUUAACUGGCUCUUCUGCACCUUGCAUUUCUUGAAGGCUCAUGGAUUCUUAGAAUGAUACACAAGCGAGGGCUUGACUUUGAAAUCUCCGCUUGCAUUAGCACAAAGCAAGAUGGUGAGAUGGUCUUUUUGUGGACUUGUGACCAGGCAUUGCAUUCUCUUCUUCUUUAAUGUAGGUCGUCCUCUUUGGCAUCUCUUUCCAAAAAAGCCCUAUCUCAUUGCAGUUAAAAUCUUGUUCCGGCAGGUAACACUUGGAAACCAUGAUCUUAUGGAACUCAGUAGGAAACGCCUCAGCUGCCUUAGCAUCCGAACUCACAGCCUGUCCGUGCCUCACAAUGCUAUGGAUGCCACCUCUCCUCUUAAAGUUAUCAAACCAUCCCCUGCUUGCCUUGAAGACUUCUUAAUUUUCUGCUGAUGUACCUGGCAGUUUACUUAUGAGGUUGGUGUACAAGGCCUUUGCCUUCUUGCAGAUAAAAGUUCUUGGUCACAGUAUCACCUGCUAGUUGCUUCUCAUUUAUCCAAACCAGAAGCAACUUUUCUACAUUUUCCAGAAUACGUGCCAUUGCUUUGAUAUUCUUGUGACUCCUUUUGCUGCAUCCAGUCCCAUUGUUUCUUCUUUCUUCUUUAAUAUUGUGCAAAUGGUCAACGUAGACUUCUUAUGAAGUCUUGCAAUUUUGGCCACUUGCAUACCUCGUUUGUACUUCUCAGUGAUUUCCUUCUUUUUUUUAUUAAAAAAUUUUUUUUAACGUUUAUUUAUUUUUGAGACAGAGAGAGACAGAGCAUGAAUGGGGGAGGGUCAGAGAGAGCGGGAGACACAGAAUCCGAAACAGGCUUCAGGCUCUGAGCUGUCAACACAGACCCCGCCAUAGGGCUCGAACCCACGGACCGCGAGAUCAUGACCUGAGCCGAAGUCGGACGCUUACACAACUGAGCCACCCAGGUGCCCUGUUUCUCCUUUUUUUUAAACAAAAAUUUUAAUGUUUAUUUUUUGAGAGAGACAGUGCAUAAGUAGGGGAGGGGCAGAGAGAGAGGGCAACACAGAAUCCGAGGGAGGCUCCAGGCUCCGAGCUGUCGGCACAGAGCCCGACGCAGGGCUUGAAUUCACAAACCAAACUGUGACAUCAUGACCUGAGCCGAAGUUGGACACUUAACCGAUGGAACCACCCAGGCACCCUUCAAUGAUUCCUUCUUAACUUCCACCGUAAUCAUCUCCUUCUUACUGCCUUUCUUUUCAACCUUUUUCUGCAUGGGGGCCAUUGUAUAUGCUCGCAUGGAUGUUGACUACAGUACAGUAUUAAUGAACUCUUGCCAUAUACUGUAUUUAAUGUAACUGGCAAUGAGGCAGCAGAGGAAAGGGCUAUAUCUGCCGGCAGCCUGACCUAGAAUGAAGCAAAGCAUUCCUAUGCUUCCUCUUGUAUGGAGAAGGAAAGGACUGUCCAGAGGUGCUUUGAAGUGACAAAAAAUACACUAGUGCCAGUUAUCGGCACCUUCCAGCGUUCUGAAAAAUCACUGAUUUCUGCCAAACACUGUGGCUUGAGACCAAGCAUCCGAGCAUGAGAGGUGAUCACCCACAAUCCUGCAGUGAGAGAGAGAGAGAGAGGAAGAACCAUUGGCUCAGUUGUGAUCAUGUGAUAUUUGGCGUCUUGUACUACUCAUAUUGCAAGACAUCACUUGUUUAUCAAGUUAAAAUUUAUUAGAAAUGUUUGCUUUUCUGUUACUUGCAGUCCAAGGUUUUACUGUAAAGGAAACCUCAUUUAAAAUGGAGUCAGGAAGCCCUGAAGCGAGACCUCUCACACAUUACCACUUGCUGUAAGAAGCCUAUCUCACAUUUCCCUGCAGGAAGCAGCUUACUAUAUGUACCCCAGCCUGAGGAAGGAAGAAUUUCUCCUUGCUCAACAACAUCCCAGCCAGUGAGAACUCAGUGAAACAGCCCCUCCCAGCUUCCUCUCUUCCCCUGUAAAAGCAGAACCCUCUCCUCUGUUCUCUGGGUUUGCCUAUGGUUUGCCAUAGUUUGCUUGUCCUGAAUUGCAAUUCCUCUGCUAUUCCUAAUAAAUUCAUUUUGCUGGUAAAAAUAA